GAUCAACGCUGGCGGCGUGCCUAACACAUGCAAGUCGAACGAGAAGGUGACUUCGGUCACUGGAUAGUGGCGUCCGGGUGAGUAACACGUAGGUAAUCUACCUUCGGGUGGGGAAUAACGUCUCGAAAGGGACGCUAAUACCGCAUAAUGCAGCGGCACCUAAUGGUGAUUAGUUGUUAAAGCGGGGGAUCUUCGGACCUCGCGCCUGAAGAGGAGCCUGCGGCAGAUUAGCUAGUUGGUGAGGUAAUGGCUCACCAAGGCUUCGAUCUGUAGCUGGUCUGAGAGGACGGCCAGCCACACUGGCACUGACACACGGGCCAGACUCCUACGGGAGGCAGCAGUCGGGAAUUUUGGGCAAUGGGCGCAAGCCUGACCCAGCAACGCCGCGUGAAGGAUGAAAUCCCUC
rnacentral:rRNA from 1 species